rnacentral:lncRNA from 1 species
UAUAAAAUUUAGGCAUAAGAAUUCAUAUAUAGGUAUAUAUAGAUAUCUUCAAAUUUAGACAUGAAAAUUUAUAUAUAGAUACAGAUAGAUAUAGGAGAUAUUUUUUAAUAUUUCAAGUUCUUUCAAAUAUACCCAUAUAGAGUUAAUAGGAAUAGUCAUUAUCUCUAUAAAAUUAUUAUUUUAUUCUUUUAAAUAUAUAUUUCUAUCAUUAUCAAUAUUUUUUAUUUGUCUUAAAUUUUUUGUCCUUUUAAAUAUAUCAAUC